rnacentral:rRNA from 1 species
CCUACGGGAUGCACCAGUGGGGAAUAUUGGACAAUGGGCGAAAGCCUGAUCCAGCAAUGCCGCGUGUGUGAAGAAGGUCUUCGGAUUGUAAAGCACUUUCGACGGGGACGAUGAUGACGGUACCCGUAGAAGAAGCCCCGGCUAACUUCGUGCCAGCAGCCGCGGUAAUACGAAGGGGGCUAGCGUUGCUCGGAAUGACUGGGCGUAAAGGGCGCGUAGGCGGUUUAUGCAGUCAGAUGUGAAAUCCCCGGGCUUAACCUGGGAACUGCAUUUGAGACGCAUAGACUAGAGGUCGAGAGAGGGUUGUGGAAUUCCCAGUGUAGAGGUGAAAUUCGUAGAUAUUGGGAAGAACACCGGUGGCGAAGGCGGCCCCCUGGACGAAGACUGACGCUCAGGUGCGAAAGCGUGGGGAGCAAACAGGAUUAGAUACCCGAGUAGUC